GGUGGCGGCGGCGGCGGCGACCGACGCAUUCCUACGGUUUUUUUUCAUCGGAGCGGGCGGCGGAAGGCGGAGGGCGCAUCGGAGAGGGGCCACUUCCUCGCGGCGGCAGCGGCAACGGCGGGCUUGUUCCUCGCGGCGGCAGCGGCGGGCUUGUCCCUUGCGGCGGUGGUGGCGGCGCGGCUGCGUGGGGGAAGGGAAGCAGCUGCGGCAAUGGCCGCGUGGGCGAAGAGAAGCGGCUUCGGUAGCAGAGGGGCGCAAGGUCUGCUGCCGCAACAGACGCCUAGGGUUCCACCUUCUCCAACCCUAACCAGCUCUGCCGCAGCCAACGAGAUCUCGCUCUCACCAUCAACACCAGCAAAGGCUUCAACCCGUCAUCCACCGAAGAGAGAAAACCUAUUGGAGAAAACAAUGAACUACUUUCCAGAGAGAUUGGACUUCUUACACGGUACCAUGGCUCUGUGAUCAUUUUGAAAUAGAAGAAUUUAAGGUAUAGUAGUCUUGGAGUGGGUUUCAGCAGUUCUGCAUUUAUCUUUAUCACUCAACCCUGCCUUAUUUGUUCACAUAAAAUUACCAUAUGCAUAAACGGUCCACAAUUGGAAAGGCUAACCGCUCAAACCUACCUUAUGUUCACAUGAAGGGAACAAAGUCAUUUGUAGCUGUUCAACAUGAAUUAGUAAGUCACUAUUACUUAUCUUUAUCUUGUGUCACAAUUGUUGUGAAAGCAGAAUAUAUAAACUUGUAGCUAUCUUAUAUUCAUGUCUUUUGCCUUCAAAUCUUGUAUUAUCAGAAUUGUGUCAAUAUCAGACUGUACAAGGAGUGUUACUCUAGUGAUAAGAAGGGAUGGGCAUCAGAAGAUGCCAGGAAUAAGCAUGUAAGUGCCAUGUAACAAAUUAAUUUCUGUUGAGAAAGAUUAAGCAAUGAGAAUACUAGACACAAAUGAGAACUAGAGAGCAAGAAAUGGGAGAAAUGACCACUGAAACAGAGAAAAAUAAUAGCUAGAGCUUAGAGAGGAAUGAUCAUGCUAUUUGUGCCAACAAUGGGUCGGUAAUAAGAGAGAAAGAAGUUGGCAGCUAUGCAGCAAAAGGCUUUAACCGUGCUUGAAUCUGUUUCACCAUGUGCAUGACAUAGGUACAAACUUUGAAGUGCCCUAUUUUCUCAUGACUUGUAGUAGAUGGUGCACUAUUAUUAGGACUGUAGUAAUUUAAGACUGAGAAAGUCAAUUUCUGUAAGAUCCUCAUCAAGCAUUGUCAUCAUUGGGAAUCAAAUAAUUUUUGCUUGACUAUAUGGUUCUUGUACUUUUAAGUAGUAGGGAUGGCAGAACUGGACUUUAAUGGCUGCGGUUGUUCAAAUAAUUCAAAGUUGUUAGUGUUGCAUUAUACUAACAAUAAAUUUGGGUACUUUUAAAUACAUUAUUAUGUUGCUGCAUUUAAGAAUGUAAAUGCCUUUCAUUUCUUGUAUUAUUAAUGCAGGAAGAAAUGUUGCAGAAGCGAAAUGAACAUAUAAAGGAGGGCGAAGUACCUUUAACCGAGCAACAGAUUUGCGAGCAGGUGCUUGGUAAGGCAUAUGGUUACAUCAGAGGUCGGGGUCAUGGACGGCACUAGUGCGAGACGGCUCGGUUUCCCAACUGAUAGAUCUGUUUUCAGGUCAGGCUACAGAUCUAUUCUUCUGAUGGUUCUCUGGUCUCAGAUGGAGGGUCGAGGGGGUGAAGCAAUUUUGGAGAGGUGUAGAGGACAUGUGGGGAGUGAUCGGAGCAGUGCUAAACUUGAUUCUUUGCAGAUGCCAAAAGUUCAGUUUACCCAAAUGCCAAAAGAGUAGUUCCUGCUUUGUAAAUUCGGCUUGCGAAUACUAGAUGCAAAAUACUACUCCCUCUGUCCCAUAUUUUAAGAACGUUUUUUAUACUAGUGUAGUGUCAAAAACGUUCUUAUAUUAUGGGACGGAGGGAGUAGAAUACUUCCUAGUUGGUGAUUGGAUUAUAUGUUUGGAGAAGUACUAAAGUGGUACUUUACAAAUACUAGAAUAGUCUUUCCUAGUUGUGAAACAAAAUUUGGCUUGCAAAUGAUCCAAAUGUAAUGUUUGGAUCAUAAGUUUACAAAUGCUGAUUCUGAUCUUCUUCCUGUAGAAUGUCUCAAAUUCUAAGAUUUCUAGCAACUAUAAA